rnacentral:rRNA from 1 species
GACGAAGGGGGCUAGCGUUGUUCGGAAUUACUGGGCGUAAAGCGUGUGUAGGUGGUUGUCACAGUCAGGUGUGAAAGCCUUGAGCUCAACUCAAGAAAUGCACUUGAUACUAGGCGACUAGAGGACCGGAGAGGAUAGUGGAAUUCCCAGUGUAGUGGUGAAAUACGUAGAGAUUGGGAAGAACACCAGUGGCGAAGGCGGCUAUCUGGACGGUUUCUGACACUAAGACUCGAAAGCGUGGGGAGCAAACAGG